rnacentral:rRNA from 1 species
AACGAACGCUGGCGGCGUGUUUAAGACAUGCAAGUCGAACGGGUUGAAGUUGUAGCAAUACCGCUUCAACCAGUGGCGCACGGGUGCGUAACACGUGAGUUACAUGCCCUGCAGUGGGGAAUAGCCCGCCGAAAGGCGGAUUAAUACCCCAUGAUCCCGCAAGGGUAAAGGUGGCGAAAGCUGCCGCUGCAGGACUGGCUCGCGGCCUAUCAGCUAGUCGGCGGGGUAACGGCCCACCAAGGCGACGACGGGUACCUGGUCUGAGAGGAUGAUCAGGCACACUGGAACUGAGACACGGUCCAGACACCUGCGGGUGGCAGCAGUCGAGAAUAAUUCACAAUGGGCGAAAGCCUGAUGGUGCAACGCCGCGUGGAGGAUGAAGGUCUUCGGAUUGUAAACUCCUGUCAUCGGGGAGUAAGACCUGGGCGUGAAUAGCGCACAGGGUUGAUAGUACCCGAAGAGGAAGGGACGGCUAACUUCGUGCCAGCCGCCGCAGUAAAAC